AUUGAACGCUGGCGGCAUGCCUUACACAUGCAAGUCGAACGGCAGCACGGGUGCUUGCACCUGGUGGCGAGUGGCGAACGGGUGAGUAAUACAUCGGAACAUGUCCUGUAGUGGGGGAUAGCCCGGCGAAAGCCGGAUUAAUACCGCAUACGAUCUACGGAUGAAAGCGGGGGACCUUCGGGCCUCGCGCUUUAGGGUUGGCCGAUGGCUGAGUAGCUAGUUGGUGGGGUAAAGGCCUACCAAGGCGACGAUCAGUAGCUGGUCUGAGAGGACGACCAGCCACACUGGGACUGAGACACGGCCCAGACUCCUACGGGAGGCAGCAGUGGGGAAUUUUGGACAAUGGGCGAAAGCCUGAUCCAGCAAUGCCGCGUGUGUGAAGAAGGCCUUCGGGUUGUAAAGCACUUUUGUCCGGAAAGAAAUCCUUGGCCCUAAUACGGUCGGGGGAUGACGGUACCGGAAGAAUAAGCACCGGCUAACUACGUG
rnacentral:rRNA from 1 species